rnacentral:rRNA from 1 species
UACGGAGGGUGCAAGCGUUAUCCGGAUUCACUGGGUUUAAAGGGUGCGUAGGCGGACAGGUAAGUCAGUGGUGAAAUCUCUGGGCUUAACUCAGAAACUGCCGUUGAUACUAUUUGUCUUGAAUAUCUUGGAGGUAAGCGGAAUAUGUCAUGUAGCGGUGAAAUGCUUAGAUAUGACAUAGAACACCGAUAGCGAAGGCAGCUUACUACAGGAAGAUUGACGCUGAGGCACG